GGCGGCGUAGCUCAGUUGGUAGAGCAGCGGAAUCAUAAUCCGUUUGUCGGCGGUUCGACCCCGUCCGCCGCUACCA
rnacentral:tRNA from 1 species